CUGGGUUCAGAACGUCGCGAGACAGUUUGGUCCCUAUCUGCCGUGGGCGUCGAAAUUUGAGAGGAGUUGACCCUAGUACGAGAGGACCGGGUUGAACAUACCUCUGGUGUACCAGUCGUCGUGCCAACGGCGCAGCUGGGUAGCUAUGUAUGGACGGGAUAACCGCUGAAAGCAUCUAAGCGGGAAGCCUCCCUCGAGAUAAGAUUUCUUAGGACGGUCGAAGACCACGACCUUGAUAGAUCGGAUGUGGAAGUGCGGUAACGCAUGGAGCUAACCGAUACUAAUUGUCCUAUUCGCGCUUGAGAGUUCC
rnacentral:rRNA from 1 species